AUACGAAAAGGGAAAGUAAAACACGAAAAGUACCGCGUAAACAAGCUCGGGUUCCACUGUCCAAAUUGACCGUUGGUUUUAUCCAGAUUACCCGGAUGAAUACCAAUCAGAAACAACAAACGACACUAACGACAGUUUACACUUUGA